rnacentral:rRNA from 1 species
UAGGGAAUAUUGCGCAAUGGAGGAAACUCUGACGCAGCGACGCCGCGUGGGUGACGAAGGCUUUCGGGUCGUAAAGCCCUGUCGGAAGGGAAGAAAGACGGAAUGGCUAAUAUCCAUACCGCUUGACGGUACCUUCAAAGGAAGCACCGGCUAACUACGUGCCAGCAGCCGCGGUAAUACGUAGGGUGCGAGCGUUGUUCGGAAUCAUUGGGCGUAAAGCGCGUGUAGGUGGCGAGUUAAGUCGGGUGUGAAAUCCCUGGGCUCAACCGAGGAAGUGCACUCGAAACUAGCUAGCUGGAGGAUGGUAGAGGAAGGUGGAAUUCCAAGUGUAGAGGUGAAAUUCGUAGAUAUUUGGAGGAAUACCGGCGGCGAAGGCGGCCUUCUGGGCCAUUCCUGACACUGAGACGCGAAAGCGUGGGGAGCAAACAGGAUUAGAUACCCCCGUAGUCC